rnacentral:ncRNA from 1 species
AGUUAAGGCCCCCAGCUAGACCACUGGGUUGAUAGGCCAGAGGUGGAAGAUCGGUAACGGUUGGAGCUGACUGGUACUAAUAGGCCGAGGACUUGUUACA